rnacentral:rRNA from 1 species
GCUUAGAAAGCUAAGGUGCUACGGGUAUACCGUAUGGCGAGGGAAUUCGGCAAAUUAGUCCUGUAGCUUAGGUAUAAGGGAUACCUGCUGUUUUAAUGAGGAAUUGGGACAGCAGGUUGCAAUGACUAGGGGGUUCCGACUGUUUAAUAAAAACACAGGCGACUGCUAGUCCGAAAGGAUUUGUAUAGUCGCUGAAUCCUGGCCGGUGCAGGUACCUAAAACUUGGGUUCAACCGAGCUAAGGGCCUGUUAACGCCGGGAGUAACUCUGACUCUCUUAAGGUAGCCAAAUGCCUUGUCGGGUAAGUUCCGACGCGCAUGAAUGGAACAACGAGAGCCCCACUGUCCCCGCCUACAACCCGGUGAAGCCACAUAAGGUGGACGAACAGUCCAUCAUCUUCCAUCGGGGAGAGAAGACCCCGUGGAGUUUUACUGCAGCUUGUGCUUGUAGUAUAGUACGGAUUACAUAGUGUAUCUGGUAGCCAUGCCUGAAUUUCUUUGGGAAUUCAGUGAAGCGACGAUGUAACACCAGAUUAUUCUUGCAGUACUUCUUAUCUGAUGCAAAUCAGAAACAGGUGCAGGUGGGCAGUUCGGCUGGGGCGGCACCCCUUUGAAAAGAUAUCAAAGGGGCCCAAAGUUUAGUUCAAACGGGUCAGAAAUCCGUUGAAGAGGGCAAAGCCAAAAACUAGACUGACAGGAUUUCCAAACGCACGGAAUUCUGAGACGAAAGUCUGGCUUAGCGAUCCUUCGUGUGCCCACUAUUGGGGCCCGGAGGUGACAGAAAAAUUACCCCAGGGAUAACAGGCUCGUCGCGGGCGAGAGCUCCUAUCGACCCCGCGGUUUGGUACCUCGAUGUCGGCUUUUCCUAUCCUGGUCCUGCAGCAGGGGCCAAGGGUGAGGCUGCUCGCCUAUUAAAAGGGAACAUGAGCUGGGUUUAGACCGUCGUGAGACAGGUCGGUCUCUGCCUGAUGGAAGCGCGGCUGUCUGAGGGGAAGUUGCUCCGAGUACGAGAGGAACAGAGCAACGUGGCCACUGGUCUACCGGUUGUCUGAUAAGGCAGGCCGGGCAGCUAAGCCGUUUGGAUUAAGUGCUGAAAGCAUCUAAGCACGAAACCCAUCCCGAGACAAGACAGCCUUUCGUAAGAUGAAGGUUCGCAGAAGAAGACUGCGUUGAUA